rnacentral:rRNA from 1 species
AGUGAACGCUGGCGGUAGGCCUAACACAUGCAAGUCGAACGGCAGCACAGUAAGAGCUUGCUCUUACGGGUGGCGAGUGGCGGACGGGUGAGGAAUACAUCGUACUCUACUUUUUCGUGGGGGAUAACGUAGGGAAACUUACGCUAAUACCGCAUAUGACCUACGGGUGAAAGCAGGGGAUCUUCGCACCUUGCGCGAAUGAAUUAGCCGAUGUCGGAUUAGCUAGUUGGCGGGGUAAAGGCCCACCAAGGCGCCGAUCCGUAGCUGGUCUGAGAGGAUGGUCGGCCACACUGGAACUGAGACACGGUCCAGGCUCCUACGGGAGGCAGCAGUGGGGAAUGUUGGACAAUGGGCGCGAGCCUGAUCCAGCCAUACCGCGUGGGUGAAGAAGGCCUUCGGGUUGUAAAGCCCUUUUGUUGGGAAAGAAAAGCAGCAGGUUGAUACCCCGCUGUUCUGACGGUACCCAAAAAAUAAGCACCGGCUAACUUCGUG